UUGCGAAAUUGUAAUAGGAUUUGGGUGUUCACAAACCUCGUCCUCGGAGCCUAGUGCGAGUCAGAACCGCUAGCUGUUUGCUUCCUAGGGCGCAAGGACUGCAGCUGAUACCUUCAGCCGUUCGCAUUAUUAACAUGCUGGAAGUUUGUAUCUUUUGACGACCUUCAUUGGCUUCCCCCUCCCUCCAUACCACUUUCCCACACUUUCCCAUGAGGAAAUGCUACAAGGAUUCCUUCAGGUUGACAUGAAAGGAUGCUGGACAGUAACUCGAAGCCAUUUGAAGAUCUAAAGAUCUCUGUUAAAGGGAUUUAUUUGGAGUGAGUUUACUGGGGACUUAACCUGAAGAUGAUGAAGAUAUUGAACCCCACCCCCGCCCCGGGCACUGGCGGUUGGUACAGCAUCGGUCAGUGUGUUUAUAGGGGACUCAGCAGGUUAGGAACCUGAGGCUUCAUCCCUGGCUUCAUCAGUGGGUUAAGGAUCUGGCAUUGCUACAGGCUGCAGUGUAGGCCACAGAUACGGCUCGGAUCCAGUGUUGCCAUGACUGUGGCAUAGGCCAGCAGCUGCAGCUCCAAUUCGACCCCUAGCCUGGGAAUUUCCAUGUGCUGCAGGUGUGGCCCUAAAAAGAAAAAAAAAAAAAAAGAAGUACAAAGUAUCAUUAAUGAAAGUGGACAGAGAUGACCACGAGUCAAUAGUACUUUGUACUUCAACCACCUUCCAGCAGAGCAUCUCAAAGGACUGGACAUCCUACCCUUUCACAUAGAUCAGGAGGCUCAGUGAUGACGAAUCCUCUUAAGACCUAAGUAUACCCCUUGUCAGGGUGAAAUUAGCAGCUAUUUUCCAAAUCAUAGAGAUAUUGAAAAACAGCUUUGGUCAGGACACAGGUAUUGCAUUUGGCUUGUCUUAAGUUCCUGGCCUAGGCGGAUGGGGUAUUGCAGAAAUGUGUGUGUACAAACACAUGCACACAAGUGGGGGAGGGUGUCGAACUUGAUAACACCAGGAGGUGGCAGGCUGGUAGGAGGGGCACUGGCUUUGGUAUGGGACAAAGUUCUGACUCUGCCCUUACUAGCUGUGUGACUCUAGAAAAUUAGCAAAUUCCCAUGAGCCUCAGUUUCCUUUUUGGGUAAAAGAAGAUUGUAACUCCUGCCUUGAUGACUUCUAUGUGGAUGAGACAAUCCCAUGUGUGCAAAAUAUCUAGUACAUAAUAGAGAUUGAAUGAAUAUUUCCUGUAGCUUCUUUUCUCUCUCUCUCUCUCUCUUUUUUUUUUUUUUUUUUUUGGACCUCU